UACCUUAUUUUGUGCAAUAUUUACAAAAUUACCGAUGAACGAAUUAGUACACAAAGUUUUUCGCUCAGUGAAUGGGUUGCUCUCUUUGUUUUUCGCUGCUUACGCACACAAUCAAAUGUUAUAAAUGUGUGCGUUUUGCCCACCACUGUUCUACACCAAUCUCUUGGAUACUUUUUCUUCUCCAAGAUGUGGCAAGUUGCAAGUAGAGUGUGGUAGCAGGGGAACCGCAACAUCAUCAGGCAGGAGGAGGAGGAGGAGGAGCAGGAGCAACAUCCAAGCAACAUCGAGGCAACAGCAAUUACAGCGACAACAACAACACCAAGUCAAGAUGCCCCCACGCUGGAAAAUUCAAAAUGUUUUCGUUUGAGUGAGCACAACAACAACAACAAUAGCAAUAGCUAUAGCUAGAGCAACAACAACUACGACAACUGUCGACAUGAUCACCCUUCUUGGCCAAGUUGGAUUACGUGCGAAUGACUCGCUGACUGAAUGGCUAAAGAACUGGAAGCACUGGCUACGACUGAGUGGCAGACCGACUGACUAUCCACCCGACAUGUUGUGCUACUCCCACUCUCCUAGCACUCCUAGGCACCCCUAGCACCCCUAGCACUCCUAGCACAUUUGCCACAAAAAGUCGAAAAUAAAAUAGAGGAAGAAGAUA